AAAUAUUUAAGGAACUCUGCAGAGCCUGAUGUGUUCCACACUCCAUGAUAUGAUGGGAAGGAAGCCUACCUCUACAGAAGGUCAUUGAGAAAGCAAGAUAAAACUCUGAAAGGAUCAGCAGCGGGACAUAUCUCAAAGUAUUACCAAAGGAAGAAAACUGUUUUCUUAAAGGGCAGCAGUCUCCAUUGCAGAGGAGAGGAGUGUGCUGGGCCAGGUCUGACCGUCCUGCUUUUCUCAAGGGAAGUGAUUAAUUGGCACAAGAAAAGUAAUUAUAAAGCUUGGAAUUCACAACAGGAAAAUCGUCAGUCUGUGAAGAGCAUGGUAAUGGGAAGGAGGCAGAUACCCUAUACCAAAUCCAAAAAAUAUUCCUGGAUAAAGCAUGUCUUCCAGAAAAAACAGCAGUGGUGUGCAGUGUUUUCUCCCAGUGAAGAUACUUAGACACUACCUGAAUUACCUCUACUAUUGGUGGAGGCAGAGGGGGAAAAAAAAAGCAGUUGCAAGGUCUCUCACUGUAAGGAAUUAGUUUGGAAUUUGUCCAUCAGAAGAUGCACCUAAUCACUCACCACCACAUUUGACCUGGUAACGUUUAAAUCUUCUUACUAAGAUUAGUUAAGCCCAUUCUACCAUGCAUUUUUCAUAAUGCCUUUAACUUCCUUUAUCAGAUAUCUAUAUCUGUAUAUAAAUGUAAGUUUAUAUUGAUUUAUUUUCUAUUUCCUUCUUGCUGUUUUCUUAUACUGUUAAGUACUGUCUUUACAUUGUGCUGCAUCAGGACAUGCUUUUGGCUGUCAUUCUCACCUGGAUAACAGAAUUGUUACUGCACAAUUCUUGCUUUCUAGGAGCCAUCUUAUUUUAAAAGAAUUUCCAAAUUUCUUUUGACGUCUUUCUCUUUAAAUAUUGCUUUCUAGCCUGUUUGACUUAUGAUGGCUUUUAUUUUGGGGAAAUCAGUCCCUUGGAAAUCUAUGUACUAACACAAUUCUUAGUGACUGGUACCAUAUUCUUUUUCCUUGUGAAGAAAUAGGUGACCACCUGCAUUAUUGCUAUUGGUCUGUAGGGUCCAAAACAGUAUUCACCUCUGUUACUAUUAGUCUUUAGUCAACAUAAUGAUGUCU